rnacentral:tRNA from 1 species
GCCUGGUUGUCUCAGUCCGUAAAGAGUGUGACUCUUGAUCUUAGGGCCGUGAGUUCAAGUCUCACACUGGACA